AGAGUUUGAUCCUGGCUCAGAACGAACGCUGGCGGCGCGUUUUAAGCAUGCAAGUCGAACGGUAUACAGUGCUUGCACUGUAGAGAGUGGCGAACGGGUGAGUAACACGUAGGUAAUCUACCUCUGGGUACGGGGAUAGCUCAUGGAAACAUGAGGUAAUACCCGAUAAGUCUUUAGCUAUUAAUUAGCUUAAGAGAAAGGCGCUAUGGUGCCGACCCGAGAUGAGCCUGCGGCUGAUUAGCUAGUUGGUGGGGUAAAAGCCUACCAAGGCGAUGAUUAGUAGCCGGCCUGAGAGGGUGACCGGCCACACUGGGACUGAGACACGGCCCAGACUCCUACGGGAGGCAGCAGCUAAGAAUCUUCCGCAAUGGACGAAAGUCUGACGGAGCGACGCCGCGUGAACGAAGAAGGCCGUGAGGUUGUAAAGUUCUUUUCUUGUGGAGGAAUAACGUUAGGAGUGACUGCCUGACAGAUGACGUCAAACAAGGAAUAAGCCCCGGCUAAUUACGUGCCAGCAGCCGCGGUAACACGUAAGGGGCAAGCGUUGUUCGGAAUUGUUGGGCGUAAAGGGCGCGUAGGCGGUUUAUCAAGUCUGGUGUGAAAGACCACAGCUCAACUGUGGGAACGCAUUGGAAACUGAUAGACUAGAGUAUAGGAGGGGAAACUGGAAUUCCUGGUGUAGGGGUGAAAUCUGUAGAUAUCAGGAAGAACACCGGUGGCGAAGGCGAGUUUCUGGCCAUAUACUGACGCUGAGGCGCGAAAGCGUGGGGAGCGAACAGGAUUAGAUACCCUGGUAGUCCACGCUGUAAACGAUGUGCACUAGGUGUCGGUCCGGUUGAGCUAUCAUGACGGAAAGUUAUGAUGGUUGAAUCGGAUCGGUGCCGCAGCUAACGCGUUAAGUGCACCGCCUGGGGAGUAUGCCCGCAAGGGUGAAACUCAAAGGAAUUGACGGGGGCCCGCACAAGCGGUGGAGCAUGUGGUUUAAUUCGAUGAUACGCGAGAAACCUUACCAGGGCUUGACAUAUACUGGAAUGGUGUAGAGAUACAUCAGCUGCUUGCAGUCGGUAUACAGGUGCUGCAUGGUUGUCGUCAGCUCGUGCUGUGAAGUGUUGGGUUAAGUCCCGCAACGAGCGCAACCCCUGCUGUCUGUUGCUAACAUUAAGUUGAGGACUCAGACGGUACUGCCGGUGACAAACCGGAGGAAGGUGGGGACGACGUCAAAUCAUCAUGGCCCUUAUGUCCUGGGCUACACACGUGCUACAAUGGUCGGUACAGAGUGAAGCGAAGCGGCGACGUGGAGCAAAUCGCAGAAAGCCGGCCUCAGUUCGGAUUGAAGUCUGAAACUCGACUUCAUGAAGGUGGAAUCGCUAGUAAUCGCGCAUCAGCAUGGCGCGGUGAAUACGUUCCCGGGCCUUGUACACACCGCCCGUCACACCACCCGAGUUGGGGGUACCCGAAGUCGCUAGUCUAACCAGUAAUGGAGGACGGUGCCGAAGGUAUGCCUGGUAAGGGGGGUGAAGUCGUAACAAGGUA
rnacentral:rRNA from 1 species